GGUAGCCAUGGCUACCUCAUGCUAAUGAAGGGAACCGCCCCUGAUUAGCAUGGCCCCUGCGCAAGGAUGACACGCACAAAUCGAGAAAUGGUUCAAUUUUUU
rfam:Medicago truncatula strain A17 chromosome 4, whole genome shotgun sequence.